UACGUAGGCGGAAAAUUAAGUCAGUGGUGAAAACCUGCAGCUUAACUGUAGAACUGCCAUUGAUACUGUUAGUCUUGAGUACGGUCAAGGUAGGCGGAAUGUGUAAUGUAGCGGUGAAAUGCUUAGAUAUUACACAGAACACCGAUUGCGAAGGCAGCUUACUGGACCAUUACUGACGCUGAGGCACGAAAGCGUGGGGAGCGAACAGGAUUAGAUACCCUGGUAGUCC
rnacentral:rRNA from 1 species